rnacentral:rRNA from 1 species
UACAGAGGUCUCAAGCGUUUGUUCGGAUUCAUUGGGCGUAAAGGGCUCGUAGGCGGUUUGUCGCGUCGGGAGUGAAAUCCACUGGCUUAACUGGUGGCUUGCUUUCGAUACGGGCAGACUGGAGGUAUGCAGGGGAGAACGGAAUUCCUGGUGUAGCGGUGAAAUGCGCAGAUAUCAGGAGGAACACCGGUGGCGAAGGCGGUUCUCUGGGCAUGUCCUGACGCUGAGGAGCGAAAGUGUGGGGAGCGAACAGG